UACGUAGGGUGCGAGCGUUAAUCGGAAUUACUGGGCGUAAAGCGUGCGCAGGCGGUCUGUUAAGACCGAUGUGAAAUCCCCGGGCUUAACCUGGGAACUGCAUUGGUGACUGGCAGGCUUUGAGUGUGGCAGAGGGGGGUAGAAUUCCACGUGUAGCAGUGAAAUGCGUAGAGAUGUGGAGGAAUACCGAUGGCGAAGGCAGCCCCCUGGGCCAACACUGACGCUCAUGCACGAAAGCGUGGGGAGCAAACGGG
rnacentral:rRNA from 1 species